rnacentral:rRNA from 1 species
CACGUAGGGCGCAAGCGUUGUCCGGAAUUAUUGGGCGUAAAGAGCUCGUAGGUGGUCUGUUGCGUCCGCUGUGAAAACUCGGGGCUUAACCCCGAGCCUGCAGUGGAUACGGGCAGACUAGAGGUAGGUAGGGGAGAAUGGAAUUCCUGGUGUAGCGGUGAAAUGCGCAGAUAUCAGGAGGAACACCGGAGGCGAAGGCGGCAUCCUGGGCCAUUACUGACGCUGAGUGAGCGAAAGCCAGGGGAGCAAACGGG